GAGACUCUAGUAAAUCAAUUACAUCACCUUGUCGAGGUGAAAUUGUGGGUUAAACUCCCACGAAUCUUA
rnacentral:tRNA from 2 species